AAAAACUGCAACUGGUGCGUCAGGCAUAGAAGCGUCUAAAGAAGCAGCACUAGCUCCAAGCUCAAUAGAAACAGAAGUUGCAGCCCUCUCAAAAUUUUCAACAGCCAAUACAUAAGCAGCACAAAGAUCAUCUAGGAUUGUCCCAGAAAGAAUCUGAACCACUGAGGUACCCUCUGGAAGAUUGGUUUCAGCAUGCUUAAGCUUUUCUAGUUCUUCAGAAAGUCGCCUCAAAGCCUCCUUAUGUCUCUCCAGUUUAUUUGUGAACUCUGUCUUUUCCUGUUCAACAUUUUUAACUUUAUCCAUAAUGGCCUUCUCUGUGGUCAGACGCUUUGCUUUUUCCAUC
rnacentral:misc_RNA from 1 species